rnacentral:lncRNA from 1 species
UCUGCGGGUGAGAAACUUCCAUGUGGCUCGCCUUUGGAGCGCCAAGGACCUUGCACGAAGAGGCGAGAGGCCAGUGGGCGGAAUAACGUGUGGGGAGCCAGGCAUGUGAAAAGGUGAAAGGGUAAUGAGGACCCAGAGUGGUUCCUGGGAGAGGCAUGCUGACACCGGGGGUGGCUAGCUUGGCCCCGCGCCGAGCUGGGCUUUCUGGAGUGUGAGUGUGCAUGGGGUGCACCCAGGGUCCUUGAUGACUUCUCAUGCCAGUGUUAUUUAUAAACAGAUCUCAAGACUGGAAAGCUCUAACCCAGUGCCCCAAGCCUUAGGUCUUCCAUACCCCGGCAGCGGGCCCCGCCCCUCGGUUUCCCAACCUGCCUGACCCCGCCCUGCCUCUCCUAACUCCUCCCAGGCCCCGCCUCCGCCGCUUCCCACAGCCCUUCCCGUCGGCUCCUGGCUCCAGGCUCCCACCCGGCUCGGCGGAGGUGGAAGCGCGCAGGCGCCGUUGGCGGCAGGCAGAGUGCGGAGUAGCGGCGCGGGGUGCGCGAGGGAUUCAUCAUCCAAGGAUCUACCGGAGACCACAGGAAAACAUGGGAAGGUUGGUGAAAGCAGUGAACAGAUACUGGCUUUCUCAGACUUCAACCAGAGAGUCUCAAAAGGCAGUUUUCAUAUGACUAACAACAGAA